rnacentral:sRNA from 1 species
UGAACGCCUCCAACGAUAGUCGCCCCGCGCGACAACUCGGUGGUGCGGCGGCGCAGCGGCUAGUCGAAAAACAAAUUGGAAAACAAUUGUAAUCAGUGAGAGCGCUCUGGAGGAGCAGUGCUUGACAACACUUUUGUUCGACUACCCUACUAGUAAGGAAGAUGUGAAUCGCCAUUAUGGAGAUCUCUACGGGAGAAUACUACAAUAUUUUUGAUGGAAAUUUAGUACAGUUGCACUUGUAAUCCCACUAGUUAACCGACUCGUAAUGGAUGUACGUAAACUAAUCACAUAUAUAGUAUUAUACUAAUGAAUGUCUAUGUAUAUGUAUAAACAUGUUAACUAAUUUACCAUAGCGGUCCUAUGCCGUAGUUAAAUGUUGCUGUUGUUUGGGAUCGUAUUGUCAACAGAAUGGCAAAUGUCUUCUUGUCAAAAUUCGAUUAGCACUUAAAUUUAUUACAAAUAUAUGCAUUAGAAACAAUA